ensembl:lncRNA
CCUGAGGUGUUGGGGCUGUGAGUGUCCUCACCCUGAGAUGUUGGGGCUGUGAAUGUCCCCCAGAGGUGUUGGGGCUGUGUUUGGAGUGUCCUCCCCCUGAGGUUUUGGGGCUGUUUUUGUGUGUGUCCUCCCCUUGAGGUGUUGGGGCUGUGAGUGUCCUCCCCUGAGGUGUUGAGGCUGUGAGUGCCCUCACCCUGAGGUGUUGGGGCUGCAGGUGUCCUCACCCUGAGGUGUAUAGGCUAUGAGUGUCCUCACCCUGAGGUGUUGGGGCUGUGAGUGUCCUCCCCUGAGGUGUUGGGGCUGUGGGUGUCCUCACCCUGAGGUGUUGGGGCUGUGAGUGUCCUCCCCUGAGGUGUUGGGGCUGUGGGUGUCCUCACCCUGAGGUGCUGGGGCUGUGUUUGUGUGUGCCCUCCCCCUUUAGUGUUGGGGCUCUGUGGUGUUCGGGCU